GUUUUUCUGUGUUUUAAGUGUUUUCCUGCAUUUGUUUGUUUGUAUCUUGUCCUGUGUGUUCUGCCAUGUAUUCAGAAGACUUUAUUGAAGUACAUAGCUGACGAUAGACCAAACCAAGAUUUGGACAUAACGAGACAAAAGCAAGACAAGCAAAAGAGCCUUACAGACGCAAUCAACACACUUACAGAGGCAAUAGACCCUUCAACUGUUUUCAGCGUCUGUGUCACACGAGAGGACAUGUUCUCCCGAGGCCUAACACAGUGGAAGUGGCAGAAGAAGUCCUCUCCGAAGAAUCCCCUCAGAGUCACUUUCAUUGGAGAGUCUGGGAUAGACAGUGGUGAAUUCCUGACUGAAAUGAUGGCCGGAAUUGAGGAAAAAAUCUUUGAGGGAGGGAGCACUGGGAAAAAUCUUAAGUAUUCAGUUACGGACUUUCAGAAUGACAAUUUCAGAGACCGAUCACACCUCAGGUCAAGUGAAGCGGCAGCAUGCAGCGCACUGAAAGAUCAUGUCUUCCUCUAUUUUUAAUACCAGUUACGGGCUGCAGCGCGAAAUAAACAUGAAUGAAUGCCAAAAGGAUAGUUGGUGAAAUAAUGGCAGUGAGCAUUACUCAGGAUGGCCCUCCACCCAACUCUUUCAUGGAGUGGAUAUACAAUUUAGUUUCUUCUGGGGAGAUUAAUAAAGAUCAGCUGACAAAGGCUGACAUAACAGAUGCAGACCUGCUAGAUCUAAUUGACAAGAUUGAGACCGCAGACACUACAGCCUUGCUUGACCUUUCUGAAAGAAUCGUAGCAUGUGGGUACACAGGACCCCUAACAUGUGAUCGAAAGUAAGACAUUGUCAGCAGAUGAGCAGAGGACUGGAACUCUGUGGCCUCCAUGAAACGGUGAAACAAAAUCAGCCGUUAUUUGUUCCUGGUCACUUUACAAAAAUUUUCUCAUGAUGGCCCUGACACCCAUUUUAAGUGAAGUGGCAGAGGGAAUCAAGAAUUGUGAACUACUUGCAGGACUUCAUUCAAAGCCUUGAAGAUGAAGAAGAAGGGAGCAGCAGUAAGGAGAACAGGGUUGAAGAUGACAACGAACAGGAGGAUAAAACAAACUGCACUAAAAGAGAUGCAGAACAAGACAAGAUCACCGCCAGCAGGUCAUGCAGUGGAUUACUGGUCAGGGGCACGUCCACAUUACUUCUGCACAAAGAGAAACACUUAAAAUACAUGUUGAAUUUGAUCAUGACUGUCAGCUUCGAUAUGGUCAGCACAGUUUAUGCGUCUCUCUAGUAAAUGCAUGUUCCUGUGCUGUGACCUUUCCUACACUCACCUAGAGACAAACACAGAGUUCACUGGCAUUAUGAGGCAGGCUGUGAGCAAUAGCAGAGAAUUUGGUCGUUAAUGAAUUGAUUCUUACUAUAGUUUAAUCACUAUACUGUGUACCCUCUGUUACGUCGUUAAUAAUAUGUUAAAAGAACAGGGGUGCAGUAGCUUUUGGAUAUUUGACUGUAGUUUAUUUUAUUUUUUUAUUUUUAUCAUUGACAUGUAUUACAACAGAAGCAGACAAGAUUGCUGCCAAAUUGUUCCAAACUCAAUUCAGACGUGAAAAAAUGUACAUCAAUGCACAGUAAGCUUCAAAGCAGAAUAAAUUCAUUAUGCUGUUCA